ACCAGUGUGGUGUAAUGGUUAGAGCAUUCAACUAUGACUCGAGAGGCCAGGUUCGAAUCCUGCUGAGAAA